rnacentral:siRNA from 1 species
UAAAGCUAUUUGCCAUGUGUCU